GUGGUAAUGCCGGAUGCUCCAUCACACCGCAUGGUGUGUUGGGAAAGCCUUUGCGGCAUGGGAUGGGGUCGCGUCCUAUCAGCUUGAUGGCGGGGUAACGGCCCACCAUGGCUUCGACGGGUAGCCGGCCUGAGAGGGCGACCGGCCACAUUGGGACUGAGAUACGGCCCAGACUCCUACGGGAGGCAGCAGUGGGGAAUAUUGCACAAUGGGCGCAAGCCUGAUGCAGCGACGCCGCGUGAGGGAUGGAGGCCUUCGGGUUGUAAACCUCUUUUGUUAGGGAGCAAGGCACUUUGUGUUGAGUGUACCUUUCGAAUAAGCACCGGCUAACUACGUGCCAGCAGCCGCGGUAAUACGUAGGGUGCAAGCGUUAUCCGGAAUUAUUGGGCGUAAAGGGCUCGUAGGCGGUUCGUCGCGUCCGGUGUGAAAGUCCAUCGCUUAACGGUGGAUCCGCGCCGGGUACGGGCGGGCUUGAGUGCGGUAGGGGAGACUGGAAUUCCCGGUGUAACGGUGGAAUGUGUAGAUAUCGGAAAGAAACACC
rnacentral:rRNA from 1 species